GGGGGGGUGGCUGAUUGGUAAAAGCGGCAGGUUGUAAACCUGUUAGAUUUGUCUGUUAUUGGUUCGAUUCCAAUCCCCCUCA
rnacentral:tRNA from 1 species